rnacentral:rRNA from 1 species
CCUUUAGAUGUUCUGGGCCGCACGCGUGCUACACUGAGUGGAUCAGCGGGUCAGGUUGCGCGAAAGCGUUUCCUAAUCUUUAAAUCCGCUCGUGAUGGGGAUUGACGGUUGCAAUUUUCUGUCAUGAACGAGGAAUACCUUGUAAGCGCGGGUCAUCAUCCCGCGCUGAAUACGUCCCUGCCCUUUGUACACACCGCCCGUCGCUCCUACCGAUUGAGUGGUCCGGUGAGGCUUUGGGAUCUGAGCGGAAAGAGCGUUUCGCUGUUUCUGCUCGGAAAACUCAGUCGAACCUUAUCAUUUAGAGGAAGGAGAAGUCGUAACA